UGCAAGUUUAUGUAGUGGUGCGUUACCGGGUGUGCAUUCGUGGGAUGCACCUCACCUUAAACAACCUAAACUCACACUCACUGCAUGCACGAGGUAAUUAAUUGAACCGCUAGGUGGUCCCAGAACACUCUGAGGAAAUUCCCAGGCCCACUACUGUUCUUGGUUGUAAGUUACACGUUCGGUAGGACUCAUGGGUAAAUGUGUUUUUUAUUAAAUGUUUAUAACGUGUGCAAACGUUUUGGUGCAGCUCUUAUAUGUUGACAGGGUCGUUGUUGGCGCAAGGGAUGUCCCACGGACCACCCCGGUGUCACAUGGGUGGACUUCCAAGGGGUUGGAAGCACGGGAGGAACGGGAGGUUGCAGCGGGGGGAUUUGGGAACGGGCAGGUGGAUGCACCGUUGCAGGAAUCAUCACCGCGUGCACGACGUCAAACCCCAAGGAGGACACCACUGGCCAGCCCACCACACAGUGCCCCACUCCAGGAUGGACCACAGAAUCGUGCACCACCCCCGCCUGACACAAGUCCAAGCCUGGUGCAGCAUGAUUUUGAUCCGGGUGCAUCGACCUCCCGGCCUCAGUCCUCUAGCCUGUGGGGGGCACUGAAGAUGCCCGAGACGAGUCGGGGGUGCACCAGGUGCACUGUGACCGUACUCCGGGUGUAACAAUGGGGUUUGCCUAGGAGUUCGCCACCAUGGCAAGAGACCUUCGUUCUUUAGCUAUGAGGGUUGCAGAGGAGGUACGCAGGAACCCUAGCGAGGCUCAUGAACAUCACGACUUCCAACAGAUCAUCGAUGUAGCGAGUAUAUUGGCACCCCUAAUCACGGAGCACACAAAGGAAGCACCUCACCAUACGUCGGGAGUAACGCGUGCACCACUUCUACCUCCACGACAGCUUGACGAUGCGGUGUGGCAGAGCACGCAGUGUUUGAGAUAGUUGGACCGGAUAGAGGAGGAAGCCAUGCGGGUAGAACAUUGCCAACUCCGCAGGUUCGGUAUUGCUAAAAUGUUUUGAAAAGCAUUUCGGAAAGGACACGACCUUGUCUACCUUUUUUACUGUGCUCUUGCUGUUUUAUCUAGCAAUAUUCUUGUGAUUAUUAUGUUUAUAUUGUACAUGUUACUGGUUUGAUUAAUAGGACAUGAAUGGUGUUUUCGAUUAUAAGUGUCAUAUAUC